rnacentral:rRNA from 1 species
UCCUGAGAAAAGGCUACCACAUCCAAGGAAGGCAGCAGGCGCGCAAAUUACCCACUCCCGGCACGGGGAGGUAGUGACGAAAAAUAACGAUACGGGACUCAUCCGAGGCCCCGUAAUCGGAAUGAGAACAAUUUAAAUCCUUUAACGAGGAUCAAUUGGAGGGCAAGUCUGGUGCCAGCAGCCGCGGUAAUUCCAGCUCCAAUAGCGUAUAUUAAAGUUGUUGCGGUUAAAAAGCUCGUAGUCGAAUCUGUGUCCCGCGCCGCCGGUUCGUCGCUCGCGGCGUUUAACUGGCGUGUCCGCGGGACGUCCUGCCGGUGGGCUUAGCUUCUCCUUUGGGGCGGCCCAAUUAUAAUCCCGCCGCGGUGCUCUUUACCGAGUGUCGAGGCGGGCCGGCACGUUUACUUUGAACAAAUUAGAGUGCUUAAAGCAGGCUAAAACUUUGCCUGAAUACUUCGUGCAUGGAAUAAUGGAAUAGGACCUCGGUUCUAUUUUGUUGGUUUUCGGAACCCCGAGGUAAUGAUUAAUAGGAACGGAUGGGGGCAUUCGUAUUGCGACGUUAGAGNUGAAAUUNCUUGGAUCGUCGCAAGACGGACAGAAGCGAAAGCAUUUGCCAAAAACGUUUUCAUUGAUCAAGAACGAAAGUUAGAGGUUCGAAGGCGAUCAGAUACCGCCCUAGUUCUAACCAUAAACGAUGCCAGCUAGCGAUCCGCCGAAGUUCCUCCGAUGACUCGGCGGGCAGCUUCCGGGAAACCAAAGCUUUUGGGUUCCGGGGGAAGUAUGGUUGCAAAGCUGAAACUUAAAGGAAUUGACGGAAGGGCACCACCAGGAGUGGAGCCUGCGGCUUAAUUUGACUCAACACGGGAAACCUCACCAGGCCCGGACACCGGAAGGAUUGACAGAUUGAGAGCUCUUUCUUGAUUCGGUGGGUGGUGGUGCAUGGCCGUUCUUAGUUGGUGGAGCGAUUUGUCUGGUUAAUUCCGAUAACGAACGAGACUCA